UACGAAGGGGGCAAGCGUUGUUCGGAAUUACUGGGCGUAAAGGGCUCGUAGGCGGCCAACUAAGUCAGACGUGAAAUCCCUCGGCUUAACCGGGGAACUGCGUCUGAUACUGGAUGGCUCGAGUGUGGGAGAGGGAUGCGGAAUUCCAGGUGUAGCGGUGAAAUGCGUAGAUAUCGGGAGGAACACCUGUGGCGAAAGCGGCUCACUGGACCACAACUGACGCUGAGGCGCGAAAGCUAGGGGAGCAAACAGG
rnacentral:rRNA from 1 species